rnacentral:rRNA from 1 species
UACGUAGGGGGCGAGCGUUGUCCGGAAUCACUGGGCGUAAAGGGCGCGUAGGCGGCCUGAUAAGUAGGGGGUGAAAUCCUGCGGCUUAACCGCAGGGCUGCCUUCUAAACUGUCAGGCUAGAGCACAGUAGAGGCAGGUGGAAUUCCCGGUGUAGCGGUGGAAUGCGUAGAGAUCGGGAAGAACAUCAGUGGCGAAGGCGGCCUGCUGGGCUGUUGCUGACGCUGAGGCGCGACAGCGUGGGGAGCAAACAGG